rnacentral:rRNA from 1 species
GACGAACGCUGGCGGCGUGCUUAACACAUGCAAGUCGAACGAUGAACCCGGAGCUUGCUCCGGUGGAUUAGUGGCGAACGGGUGAGUAACACGUGAGUAACCUGCCCUUGACUCUGGGAUAACUGCGGGAAACUGUAGCUAAUACCGGAUACGACCCUCGGCGGCAUCGCCAGGGGGUGGAAAGAAUUUCGGUCAAGGAUGGACUCGCGGCCUAUCAGCUAGUUGGUGAGGUAACGGCUCACCAAGGCGACGACGGGUAGCCGGCCUGAGAGGAUGAUCAGCCACAUUGGGACUGAGACACGGCCCAAACUCCUACGGGAGGCAGCAGUGGGGAAUAUUGGACAAUGGGCGCAAGCCUGAUCCAGCCAUGCCGCGUGAGUGAUGAAGGCCUUAGGGUUGUAAAGCUCUUUCGUCCGGGACGAUAAUGACGGUACCGGAAGAAGAAGCCCCGGCUAACUUCGUGCCAGCCGCCGCAGUAA